AGUGAACGCUGGCGGUAGGCCUAACACAUGCAAGUCGAACGGCAGCACAGUAAGAGCUUGCUCUUACGGGUGGCGAGUGGCGGACGGGUGAGGAAUACAUCGGAAUCUACUUUUUCGUGGGGGAUAACGUAGGGAAACUUACGCUAAUACCGCAUACGACCUACGGGUGAAAGCAGGGGAUCUUCGGACCUUGCGCGAUUGAAUGAGCCGAUGUCGGAUUAGCUAGUUGGCGGGGUAAAGGCCCACCAAGGCGACGAUCCGUAGCUGGUCUGAGAGGAUGAUCAGCCACACUGGAACGGAGACACGGUCCAGACUCCUACGGGAGGCAGCAGUGGGGAAUAUUGGACAAUGGGCGCAAGCCUGACCCAGCCAUACCGAGUGGGUGAAGAAGGCCUUCGGGUUGUAAAGCCCUUUUGUUGGGAAAGAAAAGCAGCAGGUUAAUACCCCGCUGUUCUGACGGUACCCAAAGAAUAAGCACCGGCUAACUUCGUG
rnacentral:rRNA from 1 species